UACGUAGGGUGCAAGCGUUAUCCGGAAUUAUUGGGCGUAAAGAGCUCAUAGGCGGUUUGUCGCGUCUGCUGUGAAAACCCGAGGCUCAACCUCGGGCCUGCAGUGGGUACGGGCAGACUAGAGUGCGGUAGGGGAGAUUGGAAUUCCUGGUGUAGCGGUGGAAUGCGCAGAUAUCUGGAGGAACACCGGUGGCGAAGGCGACAUCCUGGACCGGUAUUGACGCUGAGGCGCGAAAGCCAGGGGAGCAAACGGG
rnacentral:rRNA from 1 species